GGCAGUGAGAGCGGCGGUUCCUUCGACUACGGAUCGAGAGGUCGCGGGUUCGAGUCCCGCCACCUGGUUCCA
rnacentral:tRNA from 1 species